rnacentral:rRNA from 1 species
GAUGAACGCUAGCGGCAGGCUUAACACAUGCAAGUCGGAGGGGUAACAUAUUAGCUUGUUAAUGAUGACGACCGGCGAACGGGUGCGUAACGCGUAUAGAAUCUGCCUUGUACAUGAGGAUAGCCUUUAGAAAUGAAGAUUAAUACUCCAUAAUGUUAUACUUUGGCAUCAGAAUAUAAUUAAAGAUUUAUCGGUACAAGAUGACUAUGCGUCCUAUUAGCUAGAUGGUAAGGUAACGGCUAACCAUGGCAACGAUAGGUAGGGGGUCUGAGAGGAUUAUCCCCCACACUGGUACUGAGACACGGACCAG